CUGACAUCUGCAUGGUUACACACCGUCGGGUCCUACAGCGGUUGGUUGUCUGUCGCGUUCUACACGUCAUUGUGACGCGCUAACAGUCGCGCUUUACUUUAAACAGCCGUUGACUUUUCUCUCUCGUAGUGAAGCAGGGUCAGGAUGACAGAAAACGACGUAGAUAACGAGCUGUUGGACUACGAGGAUGAUGAGGUGGAGGCCGGAGGGGCUGGAGAUGUUGGAGGUGCAAGUGACGUGUCGAUAAGAAAGGAGGGGGUGAAGGGCUCUUAUGUGUCCAUUCACUCCUCUGGAUUCAGAGACUUUCUAUUGAAACCUGAACUGCUGAGAGCCAUAGUGGAUUGUGGGUUUGAACAUCCGUCUGAGGUUCAGCAUGAAUGCAUCCCUCAGGCAAUCCUGGGUAUGGAUGUGCUCUGUCAGGCCAAGUCUGGGAUGGGGAAGACUGCAGUGUUUGUUCUUGCCACCCUGCAGCAGCUAGAGCCCAUCACCGGACAGGUCUCUGUACUGGUGAUGUGCCAUACCAGAGAGCUGGCGUUUCAGAUCAGCAAGGAAUAUGAGAGAUUUUCAAAGUACAUGCCCACUGUCAAGGUGGCAGUGUUCUUUGGAGGGCUGCCUAUAAAGAAGGACGAAGAGGUGCUGAAGAAAGACUCUCCUCAUAUUGUGGUGGGAACACCAGGCAGAAUCCUGGCACUGACGCGCAACAAGACGCUCAAUUUGCGUCACAUGAAACAUUUCAUCCUGGAUGAGUGUGACAAGAUGCUCGAGCAGCUUGACAUGCGCCGAGAUGUCCAAGAGAUUUUCCGUAUGACUCCCCACGAGAAGCAGGUCAUGAUGUUCAGCGCCACCCUGAGUAAAGAGAUCCGUCCAGUCUGCAGAAAGUUCAUGCAAGAUCCGAUGGAAAUCUUUGUAGAUGAUGAAACCAAGCUAACUCUGAAUGGGCUGCAGCAGUACUACGUCAAGCUGAAGGAUAAUGAGAAAAACAGAAAGCUCUUUGACCUCCUGGACGCACUAGAGUUCAAUCAGGUGGUGAUCUUUGUGAAGUCCGUCCAACGGUGUGUAGCUCUGGCUCAGCUGCUUGUGGAGCAGAACUUUCCAGCGAUUGCCAUCCAUCGAGGGAUGCCUCAGGAGGAACGUUUGUCUCGCUACCAGCAGUUCAAGGACUUCCAGAGGCGAAUCCUGGUGGCCACCAACCUGUUUGGACGAGGGAUGGACAUUGAGAGAGUCAACAUUGCCUUCAAUUAUGACAUGCCAGAAGACUCUGACACUUACCUUCACAGGGUUGCUCGAGCAGGCAGGUUUGGAACGAAAGGCCUGGCCAUCACAUUUGUGUCUGAUGAAGGUGACGCCCGCACGCUCAACGAUGUCCAGGACCGCUUCGAGGUGAACAUCGGCGAGCUGCCAGAAGAGAUAGACAUCUCCUCGUACAUUGAAUCAGCACGAUAAAUGAGCUGGACGCUCCAGUUGGACUUCCAUUCACUUUGCAGUUUUACUCUGAUGGAAGAUGCAGACUUUGUUCGUAUAAACCCUGGCAUGUCCAACAGCAGAUAUUUACCCAAGCCUGUGCUUAUUGAAAGGAAGAAAGCAGGGGCACAGCUCCCUCUGCAGGAAUGAUUCAGAAUAGACUUUGUAUGAUAAUAUUUAAGUUUCUAAUGUCGGUAUUUGUUAAUAUAUAAUUCAAGUUAUCUGUUUUUUUAGGUGUGAGUGGAAGUACCAGAGGUAGUUUAGUACUGACAGUAGAAAGGCACUGUUUACUGCUGUGGAUGAAUAAAGUUUGUCUGAUGUGGUCUGGUCACAUAGGGUGUAGUGCCCUGUGUGCUUUUGAGUGUGAUCUUCAGUCAGUGCCGCUAUUACGCUCCAAAUGAAGAAUGAUCACUGUGGACACGCAUGGAUAUGAGAACUGAAAAUUUCCUUCAAUAUGUGGACAAAUAUCAAAAUAGUGGAUUUUAUUUGUAAUGUAAUAAAGUUAUAAACACAUCAGGCAGUGGUUUUACACAUCACCAUACAGAAAUGGGUAUCAGUCAAUCAUGUAGAUAAUCUCCCAAAGCUAAUUACAGUACAGUGAUAACCAUCUGUAGCUACCUCACAGACUUCCUGUUGCAGAAACUAUCAAACACUGGUUGGUUUUUCUACAAACUGCACUUUGAAGCUGUUUCAGGGCGAUCAUGAUGUCAGUGAAAUUUGAAGUUAAUUUGCAGCUUUACAUCCUUCAUUAACCUUCUACAGAUUGACACACCUGAAGGAAGCGUGGUGGAAAAACACUGUAACCCUUUGAAAUUUAGUGUUUUUCCAGUAAAGCAUGGCUGUAAUUCACACCGGAGUGACAGGUGGUCUACUCAAAGUUGUCUUUUUCUUUUUAAGAUUAGACUUCUGCUUGAGCAGGAUUAGAGCUCCAAUUUUAAGCAGCUUUCUGAACCAGGAAAGCCACUAACCAUCCCCACAGACUGACCUACGUGAGGGUUUGUGGGCAGGUAUCACAGGGGCUUUCUUGUCAAACUACACUUUAACAUUAUUCACAGAAGUUCAUCAGAGUUCGACAGCAUGACGGCCUCUGAGGAGUCUCGUUACCCUAUGUUGGUUUGAUAGUGAAGACUUCGUGCACUUACACACCUGCUGUUUGUCCCGUGUAAAUGCUUCUAACAAUGUCACCUCCUCAUUAAAACAGCGGUUUCUCACCAAAGCUUCAUUCUUUGUGGAAACAAUAUUUAGGCGUACUCUCUUGUUUUAUAUCUGAAACCUAUUAUUACUGUUA